GGCCCCGCGGUCGCGCCGCACCCCCGGUUCCCGGCUCCAGCCUGACGGCGGAGUCCGGCCGGCAGCGGGCGAAGCCCAGAAGGACGGCAAAGAAGGCUUCAUAAUCCACAUGUGCUUCUUCCUCUGCUGUGAGCAGAACCCUAACACACUGCAGAUGGGACACAUUCCAUGGAUUCAGGAUCUUAGAGCUUCCAUAGAGGAAGAAGGAGCACUCCCCCCACCAUGAGGCUGAAGGGCAGGGAAAGGAUGGCCAGCCACCCCUGCCUUAAGAGUCAGGGUGCAGACCCAGCAUCUCAGAAGCACAAGUCCCAGAUUUGAGCCAUCUCACACUAUGGAGCACAUGGUAGUCCUGGGAAGCUGGAUGGAGGAACAACUUUGAGGCAACAGUGCAGAGAGACCUCCAGAGACCUUUCAAAUCAGAGAGGUAGGAAAAGCAGCAUCUGAGUUUAUGAACUCAGUCGGCUAAUCCUCUAUGGACACUUGCCUUUGCUAUGUGAUACAGACUGCUUGGCACACUCAUGCUUACAGCACCCAGAAGGAGAUGUUUCCACUGGACAGACGAGCCACUCCAAUCAGGCACACACCCUGCCUUACCAGCCACCUCCACCCACUCUUGGUGUGUCUGCCAGAGCCUUGGGAUACAUCCUGGCUUCUCCCUAUGAGGAGGAGGCCAACAGGCAGCCAAGCACUGUCCAGGACCAUCUCUGAGGUGAAGGAGGGAGGCACAGACCAGCCAAGUGGGUGUCCCACAGCUGCAUGAUGUGUUACCAGGGGCUGAGACCACAUGCUGGAAAUGAGGUUACAAGAGGAGACAAAAACAUGUUGCUAGGAAGAAGAAACCUGUACAGCAGGACCAGAUGACA